rnacentral:rRNA from 1 species
AUGGCAGCAACACCAUCAUAUGCCCGCAUUCCCAUCAUCGUCAUCGUCCUACUUCUAGCACUCUCGGCCAUCUCUGCUUCUUCAUUCUCUCCGAGUCCAGCCAACGGCAGCGACACAGACCUUGGGGCGUUGCUGGCUUUCAAAGCCCUGCUCGCCGACCCUCAUGGUGUCCUUGCCCGCAACUGGACCGGCACGUCUUUCUGCCACUGGAUCGGCGUCUUGUGCAGCCGCCGCAGGCAGCGCGUCGCUGCUCUAUCGUUGUCGGACACACCUCUUGCUGGACCUCUGGCACCUCACCUUGGUAAUCUCUCUUUCCUUUCCAUCCUUAAUCUCACCGGCACCAGCCUUACGGGUUCCAUCCCUCCCGAGCUUGGCAGGCUACGCCGUCUUAGAUAUCUUUCUCUUCACGAAAAUAGCCUAUCAGAUGCCAUUCCUAUUGCCCUAGGGAACCUCACAAGGCUCGAGGCCCUUAGUCUGAGUUUUAACAAACUAUCGGGUCAGAUCCCCCCUAAGGUGUUUGUUCGUUUGCCGAAACUUGAGGGGAUUUCUUUGACUCAAAAUGACUUGAACGGCCAAAUACCACCGGAUUUAUUCAAUAGCACGUCUUUCUUAAAGUACAUAAACUUCGGUAACAACAGACUCUCGGGCCAGAUCCCUCCUGAGAUGCUACUACGCGUCCACAACCUUAGAGAAUUUUGGCUCAACGAAAAUGGUUUGAGUGGCCAAAUACCACCACAUCUAUUCAAUAGCACUCCUUCGUUGAGGAUAAUCUACUUGUACAACAACAGUCUCUCGGGCAAGAUUCCUGCUGAGAUGUUGUUGCAUGUGCACAACCUGGAGGAGUUUGGUCUGGGUAAUAAUUACUUGAGCGGCCAUAUACCACCCUAUUUGUUCAAUAGCACUCCCUCCUUGACGUUCAUCAACUCAGCAACCAAUAACCUAUCAGGUCCCAUACCACACGGCAUUGCCUCCCUAUCCAAACUUGAAUACUUGCAAUUGAACGACAACCAGUUCUCCAGCCUAGUGCCACAAGCCAUAUACAACAUGUCCAUGCUAGGGUUGAUGCUAUUAUACAACAACAACCUUACUGGUACGAUUCCAGACAACAGUAGUUUUAGCCUCCCCUUGUUGUACUCUCUUGGACUAUGGCAACAUGUUCAGUGGCAGGAUUCCAUCCGGGCUUGUAUCAUGUCAGUACCUAGAAGAUCUGAUUUUGCGUAG